rnacentral:lncRNA from 1 species
UUUAAUCUCACCUAUAUAUAUAUAUAUAUACACAUAUAUACAUAUAUACAUAUAUAUAUAGAUUGUUUUCUCGCAUUUGAAAUUCACCAACAAAUUGUUUACCGUCUCUCAUUUUCUAUAUUUAUUUUUUUGAAUUUCUAUAUUAAUUUUACCUCCACAAAUCCUCAUCGAAAUGUCGGAUUCCGAGAGCGCCGCCGUAGCACCACCGCAAGACCAAACCUCCGCCAUGGAGCCCGAAUCCCAACAGCAGCACCACCACGACGCACCAGCUCACAAAGAGAAGCCCAGCGUCCUCACCUCCUUCAGCAUAUGGCCGCCGACCCAGCGCACGCGCGACGCCGUCGUCAACCGCCUCAUCGAGACCCUCACCACGCCCUCCCCUCUCUCCAAGCGCUACGGCACCAUGGCUGCCGACGAGGCUUCCGCCACCGCCCGCCUCAUCGAGG